GUACUACUAGAUCUGCAUCGGAAUGCAGAGCAAAGUUUCUCUCCCCCCCCCCAGGGUUUUUUUUAAAAAGUUUUGAAUUCCUCAAUGAUUCUCCCCCCCCCUCUUCUUCUAGAAAGACGGCUUAGGAUAAUUAUUUCAGCUUUAUUGAGGGCAGAUUAGGAAAAGUCUGGAUGCUGCGUUUCAAUACGCGUUCUACAUGCCUUGACAAUGU